UACGGAGGGUGCAAGCGUUAUCCGGAUUCACUGGGUUUAAAGGGUGCGUAGGUGGAUUAGUAAGUCAGUGGUGAAAUCUCUGGGCUUAACUCAGAAACUGCCAUUGAUACUAUUAGUCUUGAAUACCGUGGAGGUCAGCGGAAUAUGUCAUGUAGCGGUGAAAUGCUUAGAUAUGACAUAGAACACCAAUUGCGAAGGCAGCUGGCUACACGAAUAUUGACACUGAGGCACGAAAGCGUGGGGAUCAAACAGG
rnacentral:rRNA from 2 species